GCAGUCGCCACGGGAAUACAGAGGGUGCGAGCGUUAAUCGGAUUUACUGGGCGUAAAGCGUGCGUAGGCGGCUAAUUGAGUCGGAUGUGAAAUCCCCGAGCUUAACUUGGGAAUUGCAUUCGAUACUGGUUAGCUAGAGUGUGGGAGAGGAUGGUAGAAUUCCAGGUGUAGCGGUGAAAUGCGUAGAGAUCUGGAGGAAUACCGAUGGCGAAGGCAGCCAUCUGGCCUAACACUGACGCUGAGGUACGAAAGCAUGGGGAGCAAACAGGAUUAGAUACCCCCGUAGUCCCUGUCUCUUAUAC
rnacentral:rRNA from 1 species